rnacentral:rRNA from 1 species
GAGUUUGAUCCUGGCUCAGAUUGAACGCUGGCGGUAUGCUUAACACAUGCAAGUCGAACGGUAGCAGUCCCUUCGGGGAGCUGACGAGUGGCGGACGGGUGAGUAAUGCGUAGGAAUCUGCCCUAUAGUGGGGGACAACUCGGAGAAAUCCGAGCUAAUACCGCAUAAUCCAGUUUACUGGGAAAGCGGGGGACCUUCGGGCCUCGUGCUAUUGGAUGAGCCUACGUUAGAUUAGCUAGUUGGUGGGGUAAAGGCCCACCAAGGCGACGAUCUAUAGCUGGUCUGAGAGGAUGAUCAGCCACACCGGGACUGAGACACGGCCCGGACUCCUACGGGAGGCAGCAGUGGGGAAUAUUGGACAAUGGGGGCAACCCUGAUCCAGCAAUACCGCGUGUGUGAAGAAGGCCUGCGGGUUGUAAAGCACUUUCAGUAGGGAAGAACCGUAGAUGAUUAAUACUCAUCUGCAUUGCCAUUACCUACAGAAGAAGCACCGGCUAACUCCGUGCCAGCAGCCGCGGUAAUA